UUUUAUGACAGAGUCAGGAGGGGGUGAAUGCUUUAACAAAAGCAAUUUAGAGCAAGGAUGGUUACUUCAUAAGUUGAAGAAGUUAUGAAAUAUGUCCUUUGUAAUCAUUGGUUCCCUGUUGUUUGUCUUUGUUCUCCAGUUCAUGAAUGACAUGAUCAUUAAAUGAUUGGUGUUAACAGUUGCAUCAUAAUUGGUUAUUUCAAAAGUUAGCAAGAUAUUUUUUUUGUUGAAUCAUUGCCUGGUUGCACACAUGCACAUAGCCAAAAACAUGGUACUUUUGAAAGUGUUCAUAAUUUUGGCAAUGUCAUGCAAAUGCUGAAUUGUAAAUUGGGUCACCAAAGACAAAGAAAAAUCUACUUAAAAUUUACAUUGAGUUAUGGCAGGCACUGUUAUUGCAUUCUGAUAUCAUGAUAUCAUGUGGAACUAAAAAGUUUAAAGUAGUAUUAAUUUAACAAAAAUUGUUAAGGUAAUAUAUAUUUACAUGUAGUAUUGUUAAACUAUGAUUAAUUUCAAUUGUAUUUCUAUUUCGAUGCAAUGUUUAAAUGUCGGUAUUAUGAGCAAUGAGAACGAAAAAUACCAAUGGCGUUAUUCUGUUUUGGAGACGGUACGCAGAUAUCGAUGUCAGUAUAUCACUAGUUAUCACCUUGUUCAUAUCGACUGCCUUUAAUGCUGGUACUAUAAAAAACAUAUAGACUGUUAAAUACCGAUAAUUUUUCUCACUUGAAAAAAAAAACAACAUACUACAUUUCUUUUUAGUGGUAAUGAUUUUAUUUCAUGGUGGAAAAAUGUUCAUACUUCGUUGAAAAGACGUCCUGAAGUCGUUUAUCAUCUUGUACAAACAUUCUUCUUUACCUUUAUGGCCGUAACUACGUUGAGAUUUAAGUUUUUAUGGAUGCCACAUAUUUGCAUUGUCGCCGCAGGAAUAAUUUGUUUGCAGGAUUUGUGGAGCUUUCUCUUGUCGAAAAUUUACCUGACAUGUGCAAAGAUAUGAGAUUAUAUUAUUUAAUAUGAAAUGACUUGUUUGUAAAUGUAGAUCGUUAUAUAUAUUAUUAAAAGAAUUCAAUGAAACGUCUGAAA